rnacentral:rRNA from 1 species
GAUGAACGCUGGCGGCGCGCCUAACACAUGCAAGUCGAACGGCACCCACCUCCGGGUGGAAGCGAGUGGCGAACGGCUGAGUAACACGUGGAGACCCUGCCCCCUCCCCCGGGAUAGCCGCCCGAAAGGACGGGUAAUACCGGAUACCCCGGGGUGCCGCAUGGCACCCCGGCUAAAGCCCCGACGGGAGGGGAUGGCCCCGCGGCCCAUCAGGUAGACGGCGGGGUGACGGCCCACCGUGCCGACAACGGGUAGCCGGGUUGCGUGACCGACCGGCCAGAUUGGGACGGGGACACGGCCCAGGCUCCUGCGGGGGGCAGCGGUGGGGAAUCUUGCGCAAUGGGGGGAGCCCUGACGCAGCGACGCCGCGUGCGGGACGGAGGCCUUCGGGUCGUAAACCGCUUUCAGCAGGGAAGAGUCAGGACUGUACCUGCAGAAGAAGCCCCGGUUAACUACGUGCCAGCAGCCGCCGCAAUAC